AAUCAACGCUGGCGGCGUGCCUAACACAUGCAAGUCGAACGCGAAAGGGGCUUCGGCCCUGAGUAGAGUGGCGAACGGGUGAGUAACACGUGGGUGACCUACCUUCGAGUGGGGGAUAACGUCCCGAAGGGACGCUAAUACCGCAUAACAUCCUGCUUUUGUAACAGGUGGAGAUCAAAGCUGGGGAUCGCAAGACCCGGCGCUUGAAGAGGGGCCCGCGUCCGAUUAGCUAGUU
rnacentral:rRNA from 1 species